rnacentral:rRNA from 1 species
GACGAACGCUGGCGGCAUGCCUAACACAUGCAAGUGGAGCGACGACCCAGGCUUCGGCCUGGUGCAAAGCCGCGAACGGGUGAGUAACACGUGGGUUACCUGCCCCGAUGACCGGGACAACCCGUCGAAAGACGGGCUAAUACCGGAUGUGCCCGCAAGGGGAAAGGAAGCUUCGGCCUCCGCACCGGGAUGGGCCCGCGGUGCAUUAGCUAGUUGGUGGGGUGAUGGCCUACCAAGGCGACGAUGCAUAGCUGGUCUGAGAGGACGAUCAGCCACACUGGAACUGAGACACGGUCCAGACUCCUACGGGAGGCAGCAGUGGGGAAUCUUGCACAAUGCGCGAAAGCGUGAUGCAGCAAUGCCGCGUGUGGGAAGAAGGGCUUCGGCUCGUAAACCACUUUCAGUUGGGACGAAGCUGUCGCCGUUAAUAGCGGCGUGCAGUGACGGUACCUUCACAAGAAGCCCCGGCUAACUACGUGCCAGCCGCCGCGGUAAAAC